UGCGAGUCAACGUAGCAAUACGUGGCAUACGGCUCAGUAACACGUAGUCAACAUGCCCAGGGGACGUGGAUAACCUCGGGAAACUGAGGAUAAACCACGAUAGGUCAUAAUAUCUGGAAUGAUUUAUGGCUAAAACCUACAUGGCCCCUGGAUUGGACUGCGGCCGAUCAGGCUGUUGGUGAGGUAAUGGCCCACCAAACCUAAAACCGGUACGGGCUCUGAGAGGAGAAGCCCGGAGAUGGGCACUGAGACAAGGGCCCAGGCCCUAUGGGGCGCAGCAGGCGCGAAAACUCUGCAAUAAGCGAAAGCUUGACAGGGUUAUUCUGAGUGAUUUCCGCUAAGGAAAUCUUUUGGCACCUCUAAAAAUGGUGCAAAAUAAGGGGUGGGCGAGCCUGGUGUCAGCCGCCGCGGUAAUACCAGCACCCCGAGUGGUCGGGACGAUUAUUGGGCCUAAAGCAUCCGUAGCCGGUUCUACAAGUCUUCCGUUAAAUCCAUCUGCUUAACAGAUGGGCUGCGGAGGAUACUAUGGAGCUAGGAGGCGGGAGAGGCAAGCGGUACUUAGUGGGUAGGGGUAAAAUCCGUUGAUCCUCUGAAGACCACCAGUGGCGAAGGCGGCUUGCCAGAACGCGCUCGACGGUGAGGGAUGAAAGCUGGGAGGAGCAAACCGGAUUACAUACCCGGGUAGUCCCAGCUGUAAACGAUGCAUACUCGGUGAUGAAUAGGCUUCAUGCCUAUUCAGCGCCGCAGGUAAGCCGUUAAGUCUGCCCCUGGGACUACGUCGCAGACUGAAACUUAA
rnacentral:rRNA from 1 species